rnacentral:rRNA from 1 species
UACGAAGGGGGCUAGCGUUGCUCGGAAUGACUGGGCGUAAAGGGCGCGUAGGCGGACGGCUUUGUCGGGCGUGAAAUUCCAGGGCUUAACCUUGGGGCUGCGUUCGAGACGGGUUGUCUAGAGUUUGGAAGAGGGUCGUGGAAUUCCCAGUGUAGAGGUGAAAUUCGUAGAUAUUGGGAAGAACACCGGUGGCGAAGGCGGCGACCUGGUCCUUGACUGACGCUGAGGCGCGAAAGCGUGGGGAGCAAUCAGG